rnacentral:rRNA from 1 species
CCUACGGGAGGCAGCAGUGGGGAAUAUUGCACAAUGGGCGAAAGCCUGAUGCAGCAACGCCGCGUGAGCGAUGAAGGCCCUCGGGUCGUAAAGCUCUGUUCUCAAGGAAGAUAAUGACGGUACUCGAGGCGGAAGCUCCGGCUAACUUCGAGCCAGCAGCCGCGGUAAUACGUAGGGGGCUAGCGUUAUACGGAAUUACUGGGCGUAAAGGGUGCGUAGAUGGUUUCUUAAGUCAGAGGUGAAAGGCUACGGCUCAACCGUAGUAGGCCUUUGAAACUGGGAAACUUGAGUGCAGGAGAGGAGAGUGGAAUUCGUGGUGUAGCGGUGAAAUGCGUAGAUAUUAGGAAGAACACCAGUUGCGAAGGCGGCUCUCUGGACUGUAACUGACACUGAGGCACGAAAGCGUGGGGAGCAAACAGGAUUAGAUACCCUUGUAGUC